AGUCGACGAACUCUGGUAUUGAUUGGUGCUUGCAUCAUGAUUUACAUUUGAGUGAGUGGCGAACUGGUGAGUAACACGUGGGAAACCUGCCCAGAAGCGGGGGAUAACACCUGGAAACAGAUGCUAAUACCGCAUAACAACUUGGACCGCAUGGUCCGAGUUUGAAAGAUGGCUUCGGCUAUCACUUUUGGAUGGUCCCGCGGCGUAUUAGCUAGAUGGUGGGGUAACGGCUCACCAUGGCAAUGAUACGUAGCCGACCUGAGAGGGUAAUCGGCCACAUUGGGACUGAGACACGGCCCAAACUCCUACGGGAGGCAGCAGUAGGGAAUCUUCCACAAUGGACGAAAGUCUGAUGGAGCAACGCCGCGUGAGUGAAGAAGGGUUUCGGCUCGUAAAACUCUGUUGUUAAAGAAGAACAUAUCUGAGAGUAACUGUUCAGGUAUUGACGGUAUUUAACCAGAAAGCCACGGCUAACUACGUGCCAGCAGCCGCGGUAAUACGUAGGUGGCAAGCGUUGUCCGGAUUUAUUGGGCGUAAAGCGAGCGCAGGCGGUUUUUUAAGUCUGAUGUGAAAGCCUUCGGCUCAACCGAAGAAGUGCAUCGGAAACUGGGAAACUUGAGUGCAGAAGAGGACAGUGGAACUCCAUGUGUAGCGGUGAAAUGCGUAGAUAUAUGGAAGAACACAGUGGCGAAGGCGGCUGUCUGGUCUGUAACUGACGCUGAGGCUCGAAAGUAUGGGUAGCAAACAGGAUUAGAUACCCUGGUAGUCCAUACCGUAAACGAUGAAUGCUAAGUGUUGGAGGGUUUCCGCCCUUCAGUGCUGCAGCUAACGCAUUAAGCAUUCCGCCUGGGGAGUACGGCCGCAAGGCUGAAACUCAAAGGAAUUGACGGGGGCCCGCACAAGCGGUGGAGCAUGUGGUUUAAUUCGAAGCUACGCGAAGAACCUUACCAGGUCUUGACAUACUAUGCAAAUCUAAGAGAUUAGACGUUCCCUUCGGGGACAUGGAUACAGGUGGUGCAUGGUUGUCGUCAGCUCGUGUCGUGAGAUGUUGGGUUAAGUCCCGCAACGAGCGCAACCCUUAUUAUCAGUUGCCAGCAUUAAGUUGGGCACUCUGGUGAGACUGCCGGUGACAAACCGGAGGAAGGUGGGGAUGACGUCAAAUCAUCAUGCCCCUUAUGACCUGGGCUACACACGUGCUACAAUGGAUGGUACAACGAGUUGCGAACUCGCGAGAGUAAGCUAAUCUCUUAAAGCCAUUCUCAGUUCGGAUUGUAGGCUGCAACUCGCCUACAUGAAGUCGGAAUCGCUAGUAAUCGCGGAUCAGCAUGCCGCGGUGAAUACGUUCCCGGGCCUUGUACACACCGCCCGUCACACCAUGAGAGUUUGUAACACCCAAAGUCGGUGGG
rnacentral:rRNA from 2 species